AUUGAAUGCUAGCGGCAUGCUUAACACAUGCAAGUCGAACGGCAGCUGAGGGGAGCUUGCUCCCUGAGGGCGAGUGGCGGACGGGUGAGUAACACGUAGGAAUCUACCUCAAUUAUAAUAGUUAGUGGGGGAUAACCCGGGGAAACUCGGGCUAAUACCGCAUAAUCUCUUCAAAGCGACGCGGGGGAUCUUCGGACCUCGUGCUAUGAGAUGAGCCUGCGUCGGAUUAGCUAGUUGGUAGGGUAAUGGCCUACCAAGGCGACGAUCCGUAGCUGGUCUGAGAGGACGAUCAGCCACACUGGGACUGAGACACGGCCCAGACUCCUACGGGAGGCAGCAUUGGGGAAUAUUGGACAAUGGGGGAAACCCUGAUCCAGCAAUGCCGCGUGUGUGAAGAAGGCCUUCGGGUUGUAAAGCACUUUCAGUGGGGAAGAAAUUCUCAAGGCUAAUACCCUUUUGAGCGUUGACGUUACCCAC
rnacentral:rRNA from 1 species